rnacentral:tRNA from 1 species
GCACCGGUAGUUUAAUGGCUACGUGUUAGAAUUUCCUAUCACGCCGUAAAGAAUCCCGGCCUUCCAAGCCGGUCGUUCGGAUAUUCGAAUCCCGGCCGGUGCA